rnacentral:rRNA from 1 species
CCGCCGGCGACCGGCGCACGGGUGAGUAACGCGUAUGCAACCUGCCCGUUUCAGCGGGAUAACCCGGAGAAAUCCGGCCUAAUACCGCAUGUGGCCGAGGGGAGGCAUCUUCUUUCGGCCAAAGGAGGCAACUCCGGAGACGGAUGGGCAUGCGUGACAUUAGCUUGUUGGCGGGGUAACGGCCCACCAAGGCGACGAUGUCUAGGGGUUCUGAGAGGAAGGUCCCCCACACUGGUACUGAGACACGGACCAGACUCCUACGGAAGGCAGCAG